UGGUUCCGGCAUCGAUGAAGAACGCAGCGAAAUGCGAUAAGUAAUGUGAAUUGCAGAAUUCAGUGAAUCAUCGAAUCUUUGAACGCACAUUGCGCCCCCCGGCAUUCCGGGGGGCAUGCCCGUCCGAGCGUCAUUGCACCCCGUCAAGCCCGUCGGCUUGGGUUUAGGCCGCGUCCUUGGGACCGUGUCCCGGGGACGGGCCCCAAAAGCAGUGGCGGCCCGAGUGCGACCCCCAGCGCGAUGGCAACCUUCCCCGCUGGGCGUGUGCCGCCUCGGGUCCGCGCCAGGCAACCCCGACAUCCAUCACGAUUGACCUCGGAUCGGGUAGGGAUACCCGCUGA
rnacentral:misc_RNA from 1 species